rnacentral:rRNA from 1 species
UACGUAGGGGGCAAGCGUUGUCCGGAUUUAUUGGGCGUAAAGAGCGUGUAGGCGGCUAAAUAGGUCCGUUGUGAAAACUCGAGGCUCAACCUCGAGAUGCCGAUGGAAACCAUUUGGCUAGAGUCCGGAAGAGGAGAGUGGAAUUCCCGGUGUAGCGGUGAAAUGCGCAGAUAUCGGGAGGAACACCAAUGGCGAAGGCAGCUCGCUGGAACGGUACUGACGCUGAGGCGCGAAAGCGGUGGGGAGCAAACAGG